rnacentral:lncRNA from 1 species
AAACAGACCUGGAAUGAAUCCUUCUCGCUCUUCAUACACUGAGACAGGUUGAAAUCUAAGACCAUGGCAGGGAGAAGCCGCACGCGGAGUCGCACUGUCAGGAUCCAGGAUCGAUCUUAAUCAGAUUGCAAGUUCUUCAGGCUUGGAACCAUAUCACCACAAUGAACAGCCAAGUAUAAAGGGUCCCUGGGGAAACCCCAACCGGCCUGCGCCCUGGGAGAAUGGGGUGGAGCCACGGAAGUUCACGCGCUUUGCAGAGGGGAGGAGCCUGGCCUCUCCUGAUCCUGGAUAGUACCUGAGAUUCAAUCGCUGAGGCGGGAAAACCCGCUAGCAGGACUGUUGCUUUGCUGAGAGUCCCUGUUUCCCUUUUUUUCCUUUUGGCCCGAUAAAUUCCAUUUUUCUCACCCUUCAAAAAAAAAAAAAAA